rnacentral:rRNA from 1 species
GAAUAUUGGACAAUGGGCGAAAGCCUUAUCCACCCAUGCCGCGUGUGUGAAGAAGGCCUUUUGGUUGUAAAGCACUUUAAGCGAGCCGGUGGCUACUUCGAUUUAUACUCUCGGAUAGUGGACGUUACUUGCAGACUCAGCACCGGCGCACUCUGUGCUAGCAGCCGCGGUAAUACAGAGGGUGCGAGCGGUAGCCGGAUUUACUGGGCGUAAGGCGUGCGUAGGCGGGUUUUUAAGUCGGAUGUGAAAUCCCUGAGCGUAACUUAGGAAUUGCAUUCGAUACUGGGAGGCUAGAGUAUGGGAGAGGAUGGUAGAAUUCCAGGUGUAGCGGUGAAAUGCGUAGAGAUCUGGAGGAAUACCGAUGGCGAAGGCAGCCAUCUGGCCUAAUACUGACGCUGGGGUACGAAAGCAUGGGGAGCAAAC